AGGGGAGUUCACGCAGGGGUGUAAAGGAGUUUUAAGAGUGUAGAGGGUACAAAAGUCUAGGGAAGUGCGCGCGGAAAAUAUUUGAAAAUU